GGUGAGUAACACGUAAGAAUCUACCUUUACGACGGGGAUAACUUCUGGAAACGGAUGCUAAUACCCGAUAUGCUGUGGAGUGAAAUGAAUUUCGCCUAAAGAUGAUCUUGCGUCUGAUUAGCUAGAUAGGGUGGUAAUGGCGCCCUAUGGCGACGAUCAGUAGCUGGUCUGACAGGAUGGACAGCCACAUUGGGACUGAGACACGGCCCAAACUCCUACGGGAGGCAGCAGUGGGGAAUUUUCCGCAAUGGGCGAAAGCCUGACGGAGCGACGCUGCGUGAAGGAUGACGGCCUGAGGGUUGUAAACUUC
rnacentral:rRNA from 1 species